rnacentral:rRNA from 1 species
GGGGAAUAUUGCACAAUGGGCGAAAGCCUGAUGCAGCGACGCCGCGUGAGGGAAGAAGGUUUUCGGAUCGUAAACCUCUGUCCAGAGGGAAGAAGGAAGUGACGGUACCUUUGGAGGAAGCCCCGGCUAACUACGUGCCAGCAGCCGCGGUAAUACGUAGGGGGCGAGCGUUGUCCGGAAUUAUUGGGCGUAAAGGGCGCGUAGGCGGUGACACAAGUCAGGUGAUAAAGGCACGGGCUCAACCGGGGUUAGGCACUUGAUACUGUGUUGCUAGAGUGCAGGAGAGGGGAGUGGAAUUCCAGGUGUAGCGGUGAAAUGCGUAGAUAUCUGGAAGAACACCAGUGGCGAAGGCGGCUCUCUGGACUGCAACUGACGCUGAGGCGCGAAAGCUGGGGGAGCAAAC